GGUUGUCGCCCCCCUCCCGUGGUUUCGCCCCCCUCCCGUGGUUUCGCCUCCGCCCCCCGCACCCCUCGGUCGCCCCCCAAGCAAGCAGUUCCACCGUCACCUGCGGCCCGCCUCGCCUCGCUCCCUUCCUUCGUGCGCGGGAGCAGUUGCAUCGCGUGCCUCCCCAACCCAAAUCGCCGGUCCCCGCCACGAUCUGCUACCGCAUCAGCGCCCCACCGCAAAACCCGUGCUCCCGCCCCAUCACGACUCCACCGCCAACGUCGUGACUCCGCCAGGCCACCGCAAGGUGGUGCUGCUGCCGGUGCCCGCCGCUCCUCCCCGUCCUGCACUGCUGGGCGAUCUAGGCGCGGUGGCGCACCCAGCGGCGUAGUCGACGCGGAGGUCGACGUCUCCGAGCGGGCGCAUCGAGACGACCGUAGUCGUAGGGCUCGUAGUUGCCUCAUCGUCAUGUCUAUGGUCCCCAGCCCCCAGGUCCAGCAUCUACGAUCCUUUACAUUGUGUGUUCCAAUCGAUGUUUUUCUUUCUCAAUACGCUGCUACUGUUCUGCUAUAUUUUGGAUAUGGUUAGACAUUGGAAUGAUUAUCAUCCACUUGGCUCCUUUCGUCCCCGGUUGAUUUUAUUCUGCUGCUGUUGCAUGGCCUCCACUAGCACAUACUGGGGAAGGCAUCACUGGUUUGUCAGUGCAAGACUAUGUACAGUUUCAGUUCUGUUCUGUUGUGUGCCAUCUUGCUUAUAGUGAUACUUAGUAUGUUGUUCCUAGAUUCAAGAAUGACUUUGUUGUGGGAGCCUUUCAGGAAUGACGGUUAGUAAGUUUCCCCUACAACCCUGGUUGUAGUCAGAUUCUAACAUGUAACCUUGUAUAUGUCUCAACGUCUUUAGGAGAUGCUCACAAAUUAUCUGAAUCCACCAUCCACAAUCACAUCCAUUGGUCGGGUCUAGGUGCAUACCAUUCAUUGAAAUUAGAACCAGAAACUCAAGCAUGGUCUAUCCACGGUGGAACAGAGAGGCAUAUAGUGAAGGUGAAUAACAACUGACUUGCUUGAUACUAGAGAUUGUAGUAUAACACCUUGGCUAAAGUUAUGUGCUUCUCUGGUGGGACGAUGUUAUAGUUAGUCUCUACAAAAAGAAGCAACAAUGGUAGCAACUACCUAAUUGGUAGCUACAAAAGCUCUAUUCUCUUGAGCUUCCAUCCAAUCACGUCUGCAGCCAUGCAGAAAGAAGCUCGAGGGUAAGCAAGGCAUCGUGGUGGACCAAGUUGUGCAGCCAUCACCAUUCUUUGCUCAUGAAACCAGGUAGGAGGGAGGAGGAAGGAGGCAAUGACAUAAGCUUACAAUUUAGCUUAAACAUCUUACCUGGUGAUGUUAUUAUUUCAAUACUGGCUUAGAAGGAUACACUUAGCUAAAUUGAAGUACUAAGCUUUGUUCGCGAGAUGUUUGAUCAGACAAAGUGUUUCGGAACUUAAAUUCAAACAAUGUUGCAUAUAAGAUAUUUCUGCUAUAUGUGUUAGUUGGAAAUUAAUAUAUAUAGGAUUAUAACCAACUGGCAAAAUUUGCUCUUGAAUGGCCUUGGAGAAAAUACAAUGUUAAAGAGUGCACAUGGGUAACGUUGCUUCUCUUCUUAUGUUCCUUACAUCUUUUGUGUAAAUACCAUGUUAUUCUUAAAUACCAUAUUACUGAGAUGCUCCUUUUCAAUUACAGAUUCUUAUACCACUUCAAACGGUUACAGCAUGCGGUAUUUAUAAUCUUUUUGUUCUAGACAUGUCUAGAAGAGCUCUCUACAUAGUAGACCAAACUCCUAAACCUGAUCUCUACAAGAUUCAACCACUAAAAAAAUAUACAAACAAAAUUCAAAGGGUUUCCACUGUCCUAAAUGAAGUCAUGAAGGUUUCAUGCCUUUGGUGGCGAGAUGAUUUAAUCCUCUUUGACCAUAGAGUUGUAGAAGUCAACCAAUUUGAGUUAAAUGGGGACUUAUCUGGUUAUAAUGUUCUACUUGCCAUGCAUGCUUGGAAUGGUAAAAGGAUAGAAACAUCCAUUUACAAUAAUGAUAAUUAUGAAGUGAGGAAGCAUAUAUUGCUACACCUACUCACAUAUACCGAAAAAAAAAUAUAGCCAACAUACCGAAAGGUGUUCGAGAUCACCUUGAACGCUAUAUUAGUCUCACAAGCAAAAAACAAUGAACUGUUUCUUAUUUUUUCUCUAUCAGUGUGAAGUUAAUAAUGUCGUACUUGUUUCUUUAUUUUAAAUAUAAGUAGAUUGA